rnacentral:rRNA from 2 species
UGGGGAAUAUUGGACAAUGGGCGCAAGCCUGAUCCAGCCAUGCCGCGUGAGUGACGAAGGUCUUCGGAUUGUAAAGCUCUUUUGGCGGGGACGAUAAUGACGGUACCCGCAGAAUAAGCCCCGGCUAACUUCGUGCCAGCAGCCGCGGUAAUACGAAGGGGGCUAGCGUUGUUCGGAAUUACUGGGCGUAAAGCGCACGUAGGCGGAUUGCUAAGUCAGGGGUGAAAUCCCGGGGCUCAACCUCGGAACUGCCUUUGAUACUGACAGUCUUGAGUCCGGAAGAGGUGAGUGGAAUUCCUAGUGUAGAGGUGAAAUUCGUAGAUAUUAGGAAGAACACCAGUGGCGAAGGCGGCUCACUGGUCCGGUACUGACGCUGAGGUGCGAAAGCGUGGGGAGCAAACA